GACAGAGGUGCCGAGCGUUAGGCGGAAUCACUGGGCCUAAAGCGUGUGUAGGCGGGCCGUUAAGUACCUUGUGAAAUCCCACGGCUCAACCGUGGAACUGCUUGGUAUACUGCGGAUCUUGAGCCACCUAGGGGCAAGUGGAACAAACGGUGGAGCGGUGAAAUGCGUAGAUAUCGUUUGGAACGCCAAUGGUGAAAACAACUUGCUGGGGGUGUGCUGACGCUGAGACACGAAAGCCAGGGGAGCAAACAGG
rnacentral:rRNA from 1 species